rnacentral:rRNA from 1 species
CAGCAGCCGCGGGAAAACGUAGGGCGCGAGCGUUGUCCGGAAUUAUUGGGCGUAAAGAGCUCGUAGGCGGCUGGUCGCGUCUGUCGUGAAAUCCUCUGGCUUGACUGGGGGCUUGCGGUGGGUACGGGCCGGCUUGAGUGCGGUAGGGGAGACUGGAACUCCUGGUGUAGCGGUGGAAUGCGCAGAUAUCAGGAAGAACACCGGUGGCGAAGGCGGGUCUCUGGGCCGUUACUGACGCUGAGGAGCGAAAGCGUGGGGAGCGAACAGGAUUAGAUACCCCAGUAGUCCCUGUCUCUUAUAC